GUGAGGAAUAUUGGUCAAUGGGCGGGAGCCUGAACCAGCCAAGUCGCGUGAAGGAAGAAGGAUCUAUGGUUCGUAAACUUCUUUUGCAGGGGAAUAAAGUGCAGGACGUGUCCUGUUUUGUAUGUACCCUGAGAAUAAGGAUCGGCUAACUCCGUGCCAGCAGCCGCGGUAAUACGGAGGAUCCGAGCGUUAUCCGGAUUUAUUGGGUUUAAAGGGUGCGUAGGUGGUUUGAUAAGUCAGCGGUGAAAGUUUGCAGCUUAACUGUAAAAAUGCCGUUGAAACUGUCGGUCUUGAGUGUAAAUGAGGUAGGCGGAAUGCGUGGUGUAGCGGUGAAAUGCAUAGAUAUCACGCAGAACUCCGAUUGCGAAGGCAGCUUACUAAGCUACAACUGACACUGAAGCACGAAAGCGUGGGGAUCAAACAGGAUUAGAAACCCCAGUAGUCC
rnacentral:rRNA from 1 species